rnacentral:tRNA from 4 species
ACAUUAAAUGACUGAAAG